CCGACUUUAGCUCAGUUGGAAGAGCAUCAGACUGUAACGGUUAACUGGAAUCUGGGUGUCGCCUGUUCGAACCAGGCAAGUCGGA